UUGGCAGCCAGGGAGGAGAAAGGUAAGCGCUGGGCAUCCGGGUCGGGGCGUCUGGGUUGCAGGUCUUAUACACUCGGCUGGCCACGGUGGCCCGGGGCUCAGAACAGGGGCCACUUCCCUCUCUACAUCCUCUCCGGCCUAGCUAUCCUGAGACUGGAUGGAGUUGGAGUGGGUUGGGACCUCUCUACCUGGACCGGUUGCGGAGAGAUUUGUGUUCAUUUAUCUGUUGAACGGAAGACUCAUUUUUUCAAAUGAGUCGCGAAGGAGAUCAAGAUCUACACUUCCGUUUUUCAAACAAAACCGAGAAAGUUUGAGCCUGUGGUCUAGAUAACUCUCUUGACCGUGAAGGAUAGGUGACCCAUCCAAAGUUAGGGGAACUAAAUAGGCCCGGAGUCUGGAAGUAGAACCCAGGUCACCUAAUUCUCUUUUCUACCUCUUCAUGGAGAUUCCGUUAUUGUUAUUAAUAUUGACAUUAAUGCCAUUAGUUUGCGAUGCACCACUGAACCACAUCUCUAGACCCCCAGUACCUUUUUUCCCCGACAUUUUAAUCUGGUUUAUAUUUUUUAGUUCUUCCGGAUGUAUUGUGUAGUAGAAAGAAUUGUAACAAAGUGAGUAAACAUAGGUGUGACUUGAUUCCACUGUUAACCUACUCUGUGAACUAGCAAAAGUUGCUUAGACUUAGCUUUCUUCCUUAGAAAACAACCAAAGGUUCUAUUUGUGAUGAACAUGAAGUAAAAUAAUGUGUCAAGAGUCACAUUUUUGAAGUGGCCAUAAAGAAAGACAAAGACUGCGUUUUAUUACUUAUAUGUGGGUUCUGAAAAAGCUGAAUUUAGGGAAACCAAGUGUAGAUAGUGGUUACUUCGGGUGAUGGAGAUAAGCAGAUAUUGAUCAAAGGGCACAAAGUCUUAGUUGUGUGAUUAGUAAGUUAUGAGAGAGUAUGAUGAUCACAGUUAAUGAAUAUUGAAUUGAAUAUUCAAAAUUUGAUAAGAGAAUACAUAAGCCUUCUCAUCACACACAUACAGGGAGAGAGAUGAAGCAGGUGAUGGUAAUGUUAACUUUAUUGUGCUAAUUAUUUCCUAAUUUAUAUAUGUUGCAAGUGCCCUGUUGUACACCUUAAAUACAUUACAUAAUGAGUUUUUAUUUGGAACUUGUAUCUCAGUAAAACUGAAAAAGACAAAGUGGAUAUAUGAUGUUGACAUGUUACUAUUUCUUUAACAAACAUAUACUGUGUAAUGGGCACUGCUGUAAAGGGUUAAAUGAUUUAUUAUUGUAAAUGAAGUAGGAAUACUAUUUUUAUCUUAAAAGGCAAGUAAACAGGCAUACAUUGUGACACAGUAAGGGAUUCCCUCUGAGGAUUUUUUUUCCCACUGUAGUUUUUUUCUUUUUGCAGUCCUUGAAGGCUUAUGCGCUUUAGGGUUUGUGAGCAGUAGAUUCUUAAGUGUAAUUCAAGCAUCUGUGGGGUCAAGGUAAUUCUGAUUGCAUGAAGAGAGGCAAAGAAAUGGAAAGAAGGUGAAAAGAUAGGAAUAAAGGAGUGUGGGAGAAGAAAGUGCCGAUAGUAGUCUCAUGUACUUUAUGUGAAAUUACCUCUGCAAAUUACUAGCUUAAAAGCCACCCUUUGCAUCAUUUACUAGUAAUCAUUUUGUCUAUUAAAAACAUCUUUUUACACAGAAUUAGCUAUACCACUGCCCAAGUCAUACCAUAUGAAACAUCACAUACAGACCAAACCUAAAGUGAUUUGCAUUUUCUGAUCUUUUCCUUAAAGUCAUUGAAAUUAGUGAGGAGGAACCUAGUGGCUUUAGUGAGGUAAACCUUAUGCAUUAUUAAGAUUCUCUCAUCCCUGUUAAUUGAGAAGCCAUUGACAGACUCAUGCAGUAGAAAAUAAAGGGAGGCUUCUGUUCAUUUGAGAGGAAAAAGUAAAUCAGCUCUUUUUAAAAAUGUAGAUUAGUGGAUCUGUUUUUUGGGAAAAACUUGCUAAUAAUAACGAAUAACUUGAUAAUUUUAAAAUAAAAAUCAUAACUGUAAUCCUGUGAAGGAGGACUUAGGUUGUUUAUAAAAAUUAACUCUCUUCCUCUACUUUCCCUUAAAACCUCACAGAACAGCAUCAUCAAAAACUGAACUAAUGAGAAAUAUGAAGCCUGUACUGUUCUGAAGCAAAAUUUGAGAUUUAAAGUAUUUUUUGUUUUGAAAACUAGUUUCUUCUAAUAGAGAUUUGUCUCAAGGUGAAGACUCAUGCAGUGAUUGUGGCUGUUGUGAUAAGCUCAUAGUCAUUUUGAAAUUUUAUGCCAAAAGAAAAAACCCUUUUCUUAGAAGUUUUCCAGGCAAGUCAACUUUUAUUUUAGGAAAGAGUCACAGAUUACCAAGACUGUAUUUUAGCUGAAUGCAGGGUCUCUGAAAUAAGGGGAUUCACAACACAGUUCUUGGAGGAGGCCCUUGAACCAUCUGGAUGACAGGCAGUCUAGCACACUAAUAUGCUUGAGGUACUGGUUGAGGUACAUUUAAUUCUGCUGUUAAGACAUUUCUCUUUAGCCAUAAGCACUUUACUUGGGACUGUGAUGACCAGAUUACUUAUUUUUAAUUAAAGUUUAUGAACUGAUUGAAAAUAGCAUGCUUUUCCUAUCAACUUGCCAAGGGUGUGUGAAGUGUUCUGCAAAUUUUAAGGGCAACUGUGAAGCUAGCAGGAAAUUAAGGAGGUUUAUGUGUCACUGUCCUUUGAGAAGUGCAAAUGAAUUAUAAACCUAUGAAAUGCGGGAGGUAUUUGAAAUCGCUUAACAAAUAAAGAGGCCUAAUUAUGAAGUCAAUGGAGUUUCAAUUUUUACCUUCUUAAUUGUAGUCCUUAAGUCGCUCAGACCAAAAAGCAUUUAAAAACUAGUCCAUUUUUUGUCUAAAAAUUUUGUAAAUAUGUGGUUAAUCUCUUGCUAAUGUAUCCCAUAGCAGAAAAUUAAAAAAAAAAAAAAAACUUAGUUUUUUAACUGGAUGGGCUUUUUACUUUAAAUUUGCAUUCUAAUUACAGCUGUGAAUUUUUCUCAGUGUUUGUGAACUGGACCACAAAAAUACCCCCGUUAAGCCAAAAUGUUAAACCAGGGAGUGUGACUACAAAUUGUUGGUGUCUCUCCUUUAGAAAAUGACAUCAUAUACUGCAGUAAUUAUGUGCAAAGCAGUAGGUUGCAGCUGUUCCUUGUGAAUUUUUAAAGUUUGGAUUAUGCUAAUAUCUUCAGCUGGAGUGCAGGUCUAUUAAUUUGCUUGUGGUACUUCCUUUCUUCCACACAGUCGAUUUUCUAAGAGCAGUCAAAAUCAUUGUUUUAAAAGAGUAGUGUGCACUUUCUCCACUUAGAACCCUUAAUGCAUUGCGUUUACCAAGGGCCCGCUGCUGGCUUUCCAGCUUUGUAUUGCAUGAGAGAGCAGGUGAAGUCAGAGCUCGUCCUCACGCUCUUCCUGUCAGGGUUUUCCUGCCAUGGUUCUCCCACCUCAUCUCUUGCUGCCUCUCUUCUCCUGUUGACUCUGUUUCCAGCACUGCUUUUCUGUUCCUUUCUACUCUUCCAGCUGCCAAGUUCUCUGUUCCAGGAACUUCUGCAUUUUCUGGGCUCUUAGCUGUCUGCUUUCUUUUCAUUCUUCUCAGCUCUGAGGUGACUUACCAUGGCCAUCCCAACAAAACUAGAUCACCACACUUUCAGUUAUUCUCUACUACUUACUUACCAUCACCUUGUUGCAUUUUCUUCCUGAUUACAGUGUAAGUACUGUCAGGUAAGAGCAGUGUAGUCUUUCUUAUCUUUUAUAUGGUGAAAGAACACUCUCUACCCCCAUUUUGUGCUUAAGAAAAAUUAGGCUAUCAACAGUGUUUUAUAUGUGUGUUUUAAUUUUGAUUUCCAGAGUUAAAAUAAGUCUCAUUAUUUUAAGUUUCAGAUUACAGGUGUGGACAUGUUUCUCUGAAGGCAUCAUUGAGGCUUGCCAAGCCAUAUGUCUGUGAAUUUGAAGUGAGUACGUUUACCUUCAAGUAUAUGAAAGAGCUUCUUGAUCUGAAGGAAUAUCAGCUGCCUUUGCAGGCAUUGUGGUUGGUGUUUGAUGAUUUGAGGGUGUUUGAUCAGACAGUUCUUGCAACUAUCAGGUAGGAAGAGAAGCUGAUAAAACUAACGUUGUACCUGAAACUUAACUGUGCCAUUGCAGUAUUUUAAAAUAUUUGAAUGUAUGUGUGUUUUGUUUUGUUUCAUUUGUUUGUAGUGCUGGGUUUUGAACACAGGGCCUUUUAUGUGCUAGGCAAAUGCUGUGCCAUUGAGCUAUAUCUUGGAUCCUAGCAAAAUCUUUUAAAUUUUAAAAACUUAACAAAUGUUUUAAGUUUAGGAAUUUCAAAAAAAUGUUUAAACCUUCUUUUCGUGAUCAUUUCAAACUUACAGAAAGGUUGAACACAUAGUACAUUCUUGUUUAUCCUUCAAUCGGUUUCCUCAAAUGUUAAUAAAAGAUAGGAGGGGCUGGGGAUUUAGCUCAGUGGCAUAAGCGCCUGCCUUGCAAGCAGGCAGUCGUGAGUUCGAUCCCUGGUACCGAUAAAAACGAAAAAGACAAAAAAAAAAAUAAAUAAAUAAAAUAAAAGAUAGGGUAUUCUUUGUCUGUUUAAUACAGAUUUAGAAAUGGAUUUAAAAUAUGUGUAUACUAAAACUUAUGGUUGCUAUAUUUGAAAAUAAGAGGAUAGAAAAAGGAAAGGAAGUAAAGAAGUUUGUGUAUCAUAAUCUUUGCACUGAUAAGAUUAAUACACUUUUUUUUAAAGGAUGUAUCUUGUCAAAGGUACUUUCUCAGGAUACUACUUGAGUCUUUAGUUAUGCUUUUUAAAAUAUUUCAAAUAAAUCAUCUAUUAAGUAAUUUCUAAUUAGAUCGUGUUUUGAUCUUAUGUGUUUAUAUAUAUUAAAGAAGGCUGACUUGUAGCUAUUUAAGAGAAAGACAUACUCCUCUAAGAACUAGAGGACUGGAUAAUGUAAUGAUCAUUUGGUAGUAAUGUUGCUUGUUUAUUUUGAACUUUAAAAAGUACUUCCCAGUUUUUAUACCAUUACUGAGUUGACCUGAUUUUGCUGAAUUUAAUUUGACUAUUCUACAAAGAAGCAGAAUGUCUUGGAUUCUGCUUUUUACAUCCCAUGGUAAAUUUCUAAUUGUGUGCUAGAACAUUUAACCCUAUUCAUUAAUUACUUCAUUAAUACACCAAACAAUGUAAAUCUAAACAAUGUAAAUCUAGUUUUUGUCCUGAACCAAAAAAACUGCCUUAUGUUUUUCUCAUGGAAAGAAAAAAUAUGUUAUCAAUGGAAGAUAAAGGAAUAAUUGGUGGAUUUAUAAAAUGAGGAAUCAGAGAGCCAAUUUCUAUGGUUUUAAAACUUGUUAAAAGAGUUCCUGGAAUUGGUGAUGUUAUUUGAAGAGAAACCUAAAUUCACUGUUCAUUGGAGGACUCAAAUUCUGGUCAGUGCCUGGAGAAAGUCAAAGCAGGAAGAUUUUCACUUGUUCAUUGAUACAAUAAAUAUUUGCAUGCCAGUUCCUCAGUUUGACUGUUACAUGAAACAGAAGCAAUCAGCAUCAUCAGGGAACUGUCAAAGGUAGAUGAUGAGCCUUGAUGACCAACCAAACAAGGAUACAGAUGUGAUUGGAAUUGGCAAUAAAUGCUUUAAAGAAUUACAGAAAGUCCUAAGACUAGGUCAGCAUGUUGUCCUGUGGUUAUUUCCUGAAGAAAGACAUUUGAACUUGGGUGGGAGGUGGCGUUGAAGUUAAAGAGGAACAGGAGCUGGGAACAGAUGCAGGAACUCAGUGAGUUUCAGGAGCUAAAAGGCCAGUGUGAUCAGAACACAGACAGUGUUGCAUGAGCCCUAAGAAACCAAGUGGGAGAAGUUGGUGGGGUCCAUAGGUUCAGGGCUUUGUCAGUCAAUUAAUAACUUUUGAUUUUAAAAGCAGUAGGAAGCCACUCAAGGGCUUUUAUUCUUGGAAGCAUAUGAUCGAUGUUGUGUUUUAAAAGGUUCAUUUAGGCUUGUAUGUGGAAAAACAAAUGGGGAUGGUAUAGGGAAACCUGUUAAGAGGCAAGAGAAAGCUGGAAUGGAACUAUGUGAAGGACAGAAGAUUUAUGGAGAAAGUAAAGUGGCUGGGAGUUAGUAGUUGAGUAGAUGGGAGAGAUGAGGGAUGAGGAGAUGAGGAAAUAUGGGAGAAGACAGGGCCAACUUCUAGGUCCCUGGCUUAAAAGAAUAAACACUGAAGGAAGUACAGAUGUAAGUGACAUAUAAAUGUCUGGUGCUACAGUGCUGAGUAUAAUAUUAAGUGAAUUCUGCAAUGUAAAUACAGGUUUGUCAGGUAAAGAGGAGGAAAGCUCUUGACCAGCAUGUUACAUGGGAAUUUGAAAGAUCUUAGGAAAUUGGUAAUUUAUAUAUAAGGGCUCUGAGGCAGGAGAGGUGCUUUAGAGCCAUAAUAUUAAUACAUAUAUUGUUACCACACUCAAGACUUUACUCUUAGGGCAACAGGAAGCCAGUAGAGGUGUUUCAUCUUAUUCUUUUCCAUUUUGAUUAGGGCAAGCUUAGAUUUAGUUUUUGUUUUUUAAAGAUGCAUUCCAGAGGGUGAAGAAAGUCUCCAGUCUGUAAGAAUUGCGAUGGCUUUAUUUUCAGUGCUCCUUCCUUUUCACAGAACUUAAGAGUCAGAUAGUCACAAUCUGUACUCCUGGCCCUCCGGUAAUGCUUUUGUUUGACCGCUGAAGUGGUGCUCAUGGUCACUAACAGCUUCCUGUUCUCAUAUCCAGGCAACAUUUAUCUGGUCUUACCUUGCUUGACCUGCUGGCUACAUUCUGGCAUUUAAUCAUUCCUAUCAUCGUAACACACUUUCCUCUCAGCUUCUGGGACACAGCUUUUCUGAUGGUGUCUCACUGACUUGCUUUCUUAGUCAUCUUGGACAUUUCUUCCUUUCAUGCUCACAUUCAGUGUGUUGAAGUUACUCAGGGAUCAAUCCUGUGGCAUUAUUUUAGUUGUUUUUCUAUUGCGUUAAAAAUACCACAGACUGAAUAAUUUUAAAAAUGUUCUCUUUUUUUCUAUUCUUUUUCUUUUUUCAUUGUUCUGGAAGCUGGGAAGCCCAGAAGUCUAAGUCUUACCUUUUGGGAAGGAGACCAAGAGUGGGGCAGGGAGAAGGGGACAUAAACAUAAUUAAGAUAUGUUAUGUACAUGUACCAACUUCACACAAUGAAUGUAAUCAUUAUGUACUGCAAGCAUGUAACAAUAAAGAUAAGAUUUUUAAAAAAUACUGUUGUAAUGGCAAUUAUAUUUAGCCAUGAAUUUCAAAGAGGACAUUCAAACCCUACCAGCCAUCUAUGUUUCUGUUUUCAGUCAGCCUUGGAUGCACUUCAGAAUCACCUGGAGAUGUUUUUAUGGAUAUGUUCUAAUUCAUAUAUGAAGAAGUAAUGAUGGAAUGAGAUUAUCUGCAUUUCAAACCACUAAUGAAGUAAAAGUUGUAGGCGUUAUUAGUGGCUGCUAAAAGAUUAGGUAAAAAACUGAUGAAGAGUUUUAUUGUGAGUAGAUUGAGCUGACCACACCUGAAUCUUAUCAAUCAAUCUUAGUCUCAGAAAGAUAUGACUAGCAUUAUGUGUCUCUUGUAGACUUUUCUUACUGCUGGGACAAAAUAUCCUAC